CGUGUAGGCGGAUUGGUAAGUCUGACGUGGAAUCCCUCGGCUCAACCGAGGAAUUGCGUUGGAAACUGCCUGUCUUGAGUGUGGGAGAGGAGAGCGGAACUUCUGGUGGAGCGGUGAAAUGCGUAGAUAUCAGGAGGAACGCCGGUGGCGAAAGCGGCUCUCUGGCCCACCACUGACGCUGAGGCGCGAAAGCCAGGGGAGCGAACAGGAUUAGAUACCCUGGUAGUCC
rnacentral:rRNA from 1 species